AGUUCCAUAGUGUAGCGGUUAGCAUGUCUGCUUUACAUGCAGAGGUCCUGGGUUCGUGCCCCAGUGGAGCCA
rnacentral:tRNA from 1 species